rnacentral:rRNA from 1 species
UACAGAGGGGGCAAGCGUUGUUCGGAAUUACUGGGCGUAAAGGGCGCGUAGGCGGCCUGUUAAGUCGAACGUGAAAUCCCCGGGCUCAACCCGGGAACUGCGUCCGAUACUGGCAGGCUUGAAUCCGGGAGAGGGAUGCGGAAUUCCAGGUGUAGCGGUGAAAUGCGUAGAUAUCAGGAGGAACACCGGUGGCGAAGGCGGGUCUCUGGGCAGUAACUGACGUGAGGAGCGAAAGCGUGGGGGAGCGAACAGG